UACGUAGGGGGCAAGCGUUGUCCGGAUUCAUUGGGCGUAAAGAGCGUGUAGGCGGCCAGGUAGGUCGGUUGUGAAAACUGGAGGCUCAACCUUCAGAGGUCGACCGAAACCAUCUGGCUAGAGUCCGGGAGAGGAGAGUGGAAUUCCUGGUGUAGCGGUGAAAUGCGCAGAUAUCAGGAAGAACACCCGUGGCGAAGGCGACUCUUUGGCCUGUAACUGACGCUGAGGCGCGAAAGCGUGGGGAGCAAACAGG
rnacentral:rRNA from 1 species